AUACACACACAUUACAUAAAAGGGGGCCAAGAUUUUGAGGGGACAAAAAAUAACAAUUGAGGAGAAAGAAAAACGAGAUUGAAAGCAAAGUAAAAGAAGGGAAUCCGAAAAAGAGUUGAAUCUGUUCGAGGUUGCUAAUUUCGGUUCGAGUUCUUAUUCGUACCUUGCUUGAAGAUUAAUAUUUUAGAUCUUUUUUUUUUUUAAAACCGUACCUGUUGGGAAUAUUAUCAGCAAUAAAGCACGAGUAGAAAUCCAGUGGCAUCUCGCCGCCGGUGAUCCGCCGGAGACCAUUCUCUUAGUGGCAGUACUAGUUGAAGAAGCUGAAGACUUCAUUGAAAAUCCGUUAUCAGGAGACCCGAAUAGAUGUAUAUCCGACAUCUCGAACCGACACGAAUCGCCAGGAAGUCUCAUAUCCUUAAGGGUUUAUGCAACUAUGGAGAGGAAGAAGUGGUAGGAGGAGGUAAAAUGGAGUUUGGGUGGUGAAGUGGCAUUGCCAUGUGGCAUCUAUAUCAUCAAAAAGUCAGGCCAUGUGUGAUGAUGUUGGACAUGGUGGACGAUUUAAUGGACUAAGGGUAUUUUUGUACCAAUUUUAUAACGUCAGGGGCUGUAGUAGACCAAUAGUAUAACGGAGGGUAUAUGUAAUCCUUUUCAUAUAGUAAAGGAAUAUUUUUGACCCUUUUCCGAAAAAAAAAUGACGUGAUUUUUUAUAUAUUCCAGCUUUGGUUUCCUUUA